UACGUAGGGAGCAAGCGUUGUCCGGAUUUAUUGGGCGUAAAGAGCUCGUAGGCGGUUUGGUAAGUCGGAUGUGAAAUCUCCACGCUCAACGUGGAGGGGCCAUACGAGACUGCCAUGACUAGAGUCCGGUAGAGGAAUGUGGAAUUCCCGGUGUAGCGGUGAAAUGCGCAGAGAUCGGGAGGAACACCAAUGGCGAAGGCGACUACCUGGCCUGUUCUUGACGCUGAGGCGCGAAAGCUAGGGGAGCAAACGGG
rnacentral:rRNA from 1 species